GAUGAGGAUAUUCCUGAAAGGUGGAACCAUUUGUGGGGUUUUGUUGGGUGCUGUGCAUUGAGCGGCAUGUCGUCGAUGCUAUCCUCUUCCUCUCUUGGUGUGCCAUAUAUUAGUUUUUUCCUUAAUCUAGUUGAGGUUGUGGUGGUGUCCUCGUGUGGUAGGAGCAUAUUUGUCUGUGAAGAAAGUGGAAGGGUUUUAUUUUUCUGGUUUUGAUUUUUUAGGGACAAUAGAAUUCGUUUGGAUAACGAACCUGGCAAAGUAAGAAGUGCGAUGGGAAUUUUGAUGUCAAACGGAGUCAAUGUCUUGCCUUAUCGUUUUCAGAGCUUGCAGAAUAGGCGCUGGGCUCUUGUCUUCAACUUGUUAUAAAUUAGUCACAAAUGCCUUCGUGGAUGAGUUGUCCUUUUGCUGUUAGUACUGUCACAAGCGCCGCAGGGUUUGAGAGCAGACCCUCGUGGGUUGAGGGUCACUAUGUAGUCGGUGGGGUUAGAGUGUCAAGACUCUGGGGGUGGCCGUCAUAAACAUCUGAAGCAUAUAUCUUUAUCCUGUGUGAGUCGCCAAGGUUGUAGUUGCUGGAUCUCGAUGUCGUUUAUAGUAGAGGAAACGCGGUGUGGUUGGCUGCAUUUAUUGCAAUUCUCCCAUCGGUAAUAUU
rnacentral:lncRNA from 1 species